GCAAAGUGAUCAAAACAUAAAAUAUAUUUAAAUUUAGCAUGGAGUUUAAUUUUAUAUCAAUCAGCACUUAUCCAGGAUCCCACUCGAUCAAAUGUAGACAUUAAUCUUGACCUUAAACUUGAUUUUAAAAAGUAUGAAGUGCAUAUUCUUAAUGAAACAUCUAGUCAUGGACUUAAACUGUAUGAAAAAAUGGCUUCUUAUUUUUCUUUUACACUAGAUAGCAUAUGAUAUAAUCACUUGACUGCAUACUAAUUAGUAUACUUAAUCAAUGCUUAUACUAUGAUAAGGUCAAUCGUUGACUGUCACUUUACAUUGUUGAGCAAAAUCUUAAGAACAAACCCUGUGUUCGAGAUCCAUCAUAAAUCAUAAUACACACAGAAUAACGUUGGAACUUUCAGAAGUUCAGAACAAACAAUACAUACAUGAAGUAAUUGCUACGUAAAAACAAUAAUCAUUAUUAUUUUGUAUGCUGUACACGUUUCUAAGGAAUAUAUUAUAUUGGUAAUAGUUCACAUGAAAAUUGAGUAACAAUGGAUAUGGUCGGUAUAUUAUAUAUUAUUGUUAAAUAAAAUUAUUUCAAUAUAUAAAGAUAAAUAAUAAUUACAAAAUUAUUAGGUCUUUCAAUAAAAAAUACUGUUAUAUAAUAAAAUAAAUAAUAAUAGUUUAUCGUAGAUUUUUCCUUAAAAGUUACGAAUACUGUCUUAUUUAUUCGUCCGUAAAUGUUACAUAAAAAAAUAAAAGUUUUAUUACAAACAAUUGGUUUAUACUCGACAACAACAAGGUGCGCCCACAGUUAAAAACAAUCUGGAAUUUUCAUCACUAACAGCUUAAAUUAAAGUAAAUGUAUAAAAAUUGGUCCAUAAUGAAAUGUAGGUGGUUUUUUUGUUAUUCGAAUAUAAUAUAAGAAUGGAAAAAAAUAUAUAUUUAUAUAAUAAUAAUAAUUAAUAGUGAUCACAAUUUGUUACGCCUAGUAAUACUAUAAAAUAUAUAAUAGGAAUGAGGGAUAAUUCAAUAUAUAAAUAAAUAUAUAAUUAAAGAUUAGCUGCUAAUGUUUUAUAUAUUUUUUUUUUUUGAUGAUUAUUACUACGACGUUUGUUUAUCUGUAGACUUGGUACGUUUUCGGCGUCUCUUCUUCCCAGACGGAUUGGACUGUUUCUUUUCUAAUGAUAUAUCUUCUUCUUCAGCAGCCUCUUCAAUUGGUACUUCUGGUACUU